CAUAGCCUCUAUAAAAAUAUUAGAGGUGAUGCCUGCCCAGUGGGAUGGUAUAAAAAUUAUAGUGAAAUUUUAUUUUCCCUAAACGGAUGCGGUAACUCUGACUGUAAUAAAGUAGCAUAAUUAAUUGUCAUUUAAUUGGUGGAGAGAAUGAAUGGCUAAACGUAUGUCUCAUUGUCUUGGGGGAAAGUUUUUGAAAUUAGAAUAAUAGUGAAGAUCCUAUUAAUCACCGUUAGACGAAAAGACCCUAUAGAGCUUGACUAUACUCUGGAAAUGACUUUCUGGAUUGGUAGUUUAGUUGGGGCGACUAUCUUUUAUAAGUAACAAAGAUAAGCAUAAUAAUGAAAAAGUUUUAUUGUUUAAUUAAUAAAUUUAACAAUUACUAAAGUAGGCUAUAAUGACCCAUUAGAAUUAAAAUAAAUCUAAUGAUUAUUAAAUAAAAGCUACCUUAGGGAUAACAGGAUAAUUUUGUUUUAGAGAUCAUAUCAAAUACAAAGUUUGUCACCUCUAUGUUGAAUUAAGAUGACCGAAUAGUGCAGAAGUUAUUUAAGGUAGGUCUGUUCGACCUUUAAAAUCUUACAUGAU
rnacentral:rRNA from 1 species